UCACCGCUUACACGGGCAGUUUCCCUAGAGUUCCCGGCAUUACCCGCUGGCAACUAGGGAUGGGGGUUGCGCUCGUUAUGGGACUUAACCCGACACCUCACGGCACGAGCUGACGACAGCCAUGCAGCACCUCGCACGCAGUCCGAAGAAGAGGACGUUUCCGCCCCUGUCUACGUGCGUUCGAGCCCUGGUAAGGUUCCUCGCGUAUCAUCGAAUUGAACCACAUGCUCCACCGCUUGUGCGGGCCCCCGUCAAUUCCUUUGAGUUUCAAUCUUGCGAUCGUACUCCCCAGGUGGAUCACUUAACGCUUUCGCUAGGUGACUGACCGUGUAUCGCCAAUCACGAGUGAUCAUCGUUUACGGCGUGGACUAC
rnacentral:misc_RNA from 1 species